rnacentral:rRNA from 1 species
AGUGAACGCUGGCGGUAGGCCUAACACAUGCAAGUCGAACGGCAGCACAGUAAGAGCUUGCUCUUACGGGUGGCGAGUGGCGGACGGGUGAGGAAUACAUCGGAAUCUACUUUUUCGUGGGGGAUAACGUAGGGAAACUUACGCCAAUACCGCAUACGACGUACGGGUGAAAGCAGGGGACCUUCGGACCUUGCGCGAUUGAAUGAGCCGAUGUCGGAUUAGCUAGUUGGCGGGGUAAAGGCCCACCAAGGCGACGAUCCGUAGCUGGUCUGAGAGGAUGAUCAGCCACACUGGAACUGAGACACGGUCCAGACUCCUACGGGAGGCAGCAGUGGGGAAUAUUGGACAAUGGGCGCAAGCCUGAUCCAGCCAUACCGCGUGGGUGAAGAAGGCCUUCGGGUUGUAAAGCCCUUUUGUUGGGAAAGAAAAGCAGCAGGUUAAUACCCCGCUGUUCUGACGGUACCCAAAGAAUAAGCACCGGCUAACUUCGUG